UACACGUCUCUCGUAAUCAUCAUGAAAAUGUUCCUUCCUAUUUUCACGGCAAUUUGAGGCCAUUCGGUUUCGGCCGUAACCGUGCACGGGUGCCCCACAUCAUGUCCGGACUUUACUUUUUACACCGAAAAAUAAGUGACGUCCCAAUUUAAAGGAAACGGUUCCUUAAACCCUGAACUGCCCGUUCGGGGUCAAAACAGCUCAUAUUAUAGUUUUCUUUUUUUUCGAGCCGCGCUGCCGGAUUAUGGCAGUUAUUUCCUUGAAAUGUCCCGGCGCUCAUUGUCCACGGCUUAAUCACAUACUCGAGUAAAUUGUUACUCAGUCGAGCCGACCGCAAUCACGGGCAGACCGCAUAUUUUAGCGUUUAAGGUAAAUACAACUGACAAUCAACGUAAGGCCGAGUUUACCUUCUUCUUUCUGCUGCUAAAGAAAUUAGGUUCCCGUCAAUGUUUGUCUUGCUUUCAAUAACAAGUGCACGGUUAUCCCUGGUUAUAAUUCAACGACCGGCUUCGUCGUACUUCGAGCAAAUCUUCGGCAGAAUCCGCAAGGCGAUUGCAGGGUCAAUUUUGAUCCAGACUAUUUAACUCGUUCAAUUGCUCGAUUAUCGGCAAUCGAAUAAAACAAAUUGCUGGAACAACAAAAAGGCUAAUAACAUGCUCGCCGAACGAAGCUCAGAAUUUUUAUAAACAUCGUCGAUAAAUAGAGCUGCGCGAGAGUUAAACUGUGUAGAACGCGCUCUAUUGUUACCGAGCAAACGAAAGAACCUAUCUGCCACGAGCCGAGACGAUUUGAUCUGAAAUUCAUCGCGUAAUAUCAAGGUAAUAUCUUGAUUAACCCCGCGACAUCAGAACCGCAAUGGUCUUAAUUAAACGCAAGUCAUUCGAAUUCUCUUCCUGGGAUACACCGGCGAGGGCAUACGCCUGUUCCGCGUUUAUCACGGUGCCUACUGUGGCGUUGCCUUCGAUAUGAAACAAGGUGACCAACACGCGUGGAAAGCAGACUUCAAUUCGAAUAACGGUGUAAAGAAACGCUCUGAUGCCCACCUAAGAUAUUCGUUAUGCGUACCAUACAGGUUGCCCAUCGUACGGUCAGCCAGACGGGUAAUAGUGGUAUAGGUCAUGGUUAUUUCCUCAAGACGAAACGCGGUCUAAUUGGAGUCGAAAACUAUGGAAGGAUAUUUUGUGCUGUUGUUGCCAAAGGAUGAAUUUGUAAAACAACGAGAGAUUUGUAAAGGAACAACAAGAAUUUGUGAAACAAUAUUACUGAAAUUAUUUAGUUUAUGAAAAUGUUCAUAAAAAUUGCGUGCGCUGCAAUGAAUAAGUUCGAAGUCAGUUUCGUUUCCACGAAAGAAAAAGGAAUUAGGAUGCUUUCGUGGUCGCGAUAAACAACAAGAAACAAUAAGAAUUUGUCAAACAAUUUUAGUUAAACUAUUUAGCUUAUAAAAAUGUUCAUAAAAGCUGCGUGCGCUGCAAUGAAUAAGUUCGAAGUCAGUUUCGUUUCCACGAAAGAAAAAGGAAUUAGGAUGCUUUCGUGCUCGCGAUAAUUAAAUAAUACAGUCCGCGGCAUUAAUCAUGAUUCGGCCGUUCAUUUCGAAUAAAAUGCCGAACCAUAGGACUGCCAUGGUUCCGAACGAAUCUUUAUCGAAACGCUUUUUCGAUCGACUAGGCAACACUGAUUGGUUCGGUGCACGAGGAGGCCGGCGGAACGAGGAAAUUCAAUUGGAGCAGCGAAUAGUAAUGGAAAUAAUUAUGCCCGCGAUAAUAAUGGAAAAUUCGAUCAAGUAAAAGCGAACACGUAUCGGAACACCAUUUAACAUUUAUUACGUAUCGUGUAUUAUUUAAACGAACUGCUACGUGAUAUUGUGUUAGUAGAAUAGCAUCAAAGUAGUUCGUAUCGCCUUUUAAAAGAUUAUUAGAGACACGUUAAUACAUUCGUGUGUCUCGACUCACUGUCAUCGAGCUAUUUUUCAUGGGACAAUAAACAACAGUUUCGUUGACAUCCGAUCGAUAUAGCAAUUAUUUUUAUAAUUGAUAAAAGUAGCUCGACGAAUGCGACAACAGUUUCGAAACGGUAUAGUGACGAAUAAAUUAUGUUAAAAUUAGACACGGAAAUGCUAAUUGGUCAGUUAUUUCGCAGACCGCUCGUUAGCAUUUUCACGAAAAUAAAAAUCGUGUUGAGGAUAGAUCGAUUAUGCAAUAAAUAGGUUUCCGAGGUGACAUAAAACAGGCAACGCAGGCAGCACGAUUACUUCGGAAAACGCGAUUUGCGUCGAGCGUAGCGAUAAGGGUAGCAAAUAGUGUCGUUAAAAUGUUCGACGGGCAUUCAGGAUAAAAAAACACAGGAUUGCACGAGAUCUCUCGUGGAUCUUUCCGCACGCAGGUCGGAACGCGCAAACGUCGACACAUUUUAAUGAUGUGUGCACACGUGAAGGUGUACGUAAAGUGGCACACGCGCGGGCCGAUUCGAUUGAUGCCCGGGAAUUUAACGGGAAGAGAGAAACAACCGAAAUCUGUUACGUAAAACGGUCCUCCCAGCACGAAUCCUCUCUCCCGAUUGCCUUCUAGAUAACUAUACAUAUACAGUACACACAUAUAUAUAUACACAUCUAUAUGUAUAUACAUACACGUACAUCUUUUUCCGUUUUGUACGAGAGAACCGCAACUGUGCCUUUACGGCGCCAUAAAUUCUGCUCUUUUUUUCCCCCAUUCGGCAGGAUGACAUCGGAUCGCCUCUAUCCACACUACUCUGUAAUGUUAAUGUACCCGCAAGCGUCAGCGCGCGCUGUUUCCCGACUUCUAUGCCUUGUAAGAAUGUCGAGUCAAUUUUUUACACCUGCACGAUUUUUCUGAGAACGUUGAUAUUCGAUAAAAAGCUCGACAUAAUCAAAAUUUGAGAGAUCUCACUAUUCGUUCAAUAUUAAUAUCAAUGGUAAAUCUAGAAUUCUCUAAAAAAUGUUGCUUUUAUUUGUAAAGCGAGAAUUAUUUUCACAGUGUUUGGAAAUGCAGAGCUUUCGGUAUUACAUUCGGUAUUACAUCGAAAGCGCGAGCAUUAGGGGGUUGACCGGCGUUUGGACAAACGGUGUUAGGCUAACGAGGCAUCUAUAGCGAAAUAAACGAUUCAUAUAUUUUUACGGAGCCAUGUAACACAAAUUACAACCGAUAUGUCGUUUCCUAAUUUGCACGAGAUUAUUCUGAAAAACAAUUUUAGUCGACAGAGUCAACGGUCAGCUUCAUUUUAAGGAACAAGUUAGUUUGAACACAUCUCGAUUGUUCUAAUUACUGUUGUAAUUACUGACUUGACACUGCUUCAAAUGAAGUAUUAAUAAAAAGGCGCGCGCACGCGUUUUUCGCAAAAACGACUGACUCCAACUGCGAAGACCUUACAAGAAUUUUAGAAUAUCCUUCUAUCGUGUACAAAAUACAAAAAUAACUAAAACAGGAAA